rnacentral:rRNA from 1 species
UACAGAGGUCUCGAAGCGUUGUUCGGAUUCAUUGGGCGUAAAGGGUGCGUAGGCGGCGCGGUAAGUCGGGUGUGAAAUCGUCCGGAGCUUAACUCCGAAACUUGCAUUCGAUACUGCCGUGCUCGAGGACUGGAGAGGAGACUGGAAUUCAUGGUGUAGCAGUGAAAUGCGUAGAGAUCAUGAGGAAGACCAGUGGCGAAGGCGGGUCUCUGGACA